rnacentral:rRNA from 1 species
AGGGAAUCUUCCACAAUGGACGCAAGUCUGAUGGAGCAACGCCGCGUGAGUGAUGAAGGCUUUCGGGUCGUAAAACUCUGUUGUUGGCGAAGAACGUGUGUGAGAGUAACUGCUCAUGCAGUGACGGUAUCCAACCAGAAAGCCACGGCUAACUACGUGCCAGCAGCCGCGGUAAUACGUAGGUGGCAAGCGUUAUCCGGAUUUAUUGGGCGUAAAGCGAGCGCAGGCGGUCUUUAAGUCUAAUGUGAAAGCCUUCGGCUUAACCGAAGAAGUGCAUUGGAAACUGAGAGACUUGAGUGCAGAAGAGGAGAGUGGAACUCCAUGUGUAGCGGUGAAAUGCGUAGAUAUAUGGAAGAACACCAGUGGCGAAGGCGGCUCUCUGGUCUGCAACUGACGCUAAGGCUCGAAAGCAUGGGGAGCGAAC